rnacentral:rRNA from 1 species
AGUGAACGCUGGCGGUAGGCCUAACACAUGCAAGUCGAACGGCAGCACAGUAAGAGCUUGCUCUUACGGGUGGCGAGUGGCGGACGGGUGAGGAAUACAUCGGAAUCUACUUUUUCGUGGGGGAUAACGUAGGGAAACUUACGCUAAUACCGCAUACGACCUACGGGUGAAAGCAGGGGAUCUUCGGACCUUGCGCGAUUGAAUGAGCCGAUGUCGGAUUAGCUAGUUGGCGGGGUAAAGGCCCACCAAGGCGACGAUCCGUAGCUGGUCUGAGAGGAUGAUCAGCCACACUGGAACUGAGACACAGUCCAGACUCCUACGGGAGGCAACAGUGGGGAAUAUUGGACAAUGGGCGCAAGCCUGAUCCAGCCAUACCGCGUGGGUGAAGAAGGCCUUCGGGUUGUAAAGCCCUUUUGUUGGGAAAGAAAAGCAGCAGGUUAAUACCCCGCUGUUCUGACGGUACCCAAAGAAUAAGCACCGGCUAACUUCGUG